rnacentral:sRNA from 1 species
UCACAAACUCCAUGAGCGACUCCACAUC